AACAAACGCUGGCGGCGCGUUUUAAGCAUGCAAGUCGGACGGCAAGAGUUGUAGCAAUAUGACUCCUAGAGUGGCGAACGGGUGAGUAACACGUAGGUGAUCUACCUCUGGAUGGGGGAUAGUCCGUGGAAACACGGGGUAAUACCGCAUGAGGCCUUGUGGGUGGAGCCAUGAGGUGAAAGGUGCAAUUGCAUCGUCUGGGGAUGAGCCUGCGAUCCAUUAGGUAGUUGGCGGGGUAACGGCCCACCAAGCCUAAGACGGGUAGCUGGUCUGAGAGGAUGAUCAGCCACACUGGAACUGAGACACGGUCCAGACUCCUACGGGUGGCUG
rnacentral:rRNA from 1 species